GACGAACGCUGGCGGCGUGCUUAACACAUGCAAGUCGAACGGAAAGGCCCUGCUUGCAGGGUACUCGAGUGGCGAACGGGUGAGUAACACGUGGGUGAUCUGCCCUGCACUUCGGGAUAAGCCUGGGAAACUGGGUCUAAUACCGGAUAGGAGCCAUUUUUAGUGUGAUGGUUGGAAAGUUUUUUCGGUGUAGGAUGAGCUCGCGGCCUAUCAGCUUGUUGGUGGGGUAAUGGCCUACCAAGGCGGCGACGGGUAGCCGGCCUGAGAGGGUGGACGGCCACAUUGGGACUGAGAUACGGCCCAGACUCCUACGGGAGGCAGCCGUGGGGAAUAUUGCACAAUGGGCGCAAGCCUGAUGCAGCGACGCCGCGUGGGGGAUGACGGCCUUCGGGUUGUAAACUCCUUUCGCUAGGGACGAAGCUUUUGUGACGGUACCUAGAUAAGAAGCACCGGCUAACUACGUG
rnacentral:rRNA from 1 species